rnacentral:rRNA from 1 species
GACGAACGCUGGCGGCGUGCUUAACACAUGCAAGUCGAACGGUAAGGCCCUUCGGGUACGACGAGUGGCGAACGGGUGGAGUAACACGUGGGUGAUCUGCCCUGCACUUCGGGAUAAGCCUGGGAAACUGGGUCUAAUACCGGAUAGGACCAUGGACUUCACGGUUUGUGGUGGAAAGCUUUUGCGGUGUGGGAUGGGCCCGCGGCCUAUCAGCUUGUUGGUGGGGUAAUGGCCUACCAAGGCGACGACGGGUAGCCGGCCUGAGAGGGUGUCCGGCACACUGGGACUGAGAUACGGCCCAGACUCCUACGGGAGGCAGCAGUGGGGAAUAUUGCACAAUGGGCGCAAGCCUGAUGCAGCGACGCCGCGUGAGGGA